GCUGUCAAAAAUAGGUUAGGUUAGAACUGUGACCCUCGAAAAACCGAACUGCUGCCACAAAAGUGGGUUAGGUUAGGUUAGAACUGUGACCCUCGCAAAAACGAACUGCUGCCACAAAAGUGGGUUAGGUGAGGUUAGAACUGCGACCAUUGUAAAAACAAACUGCUGUUAAAAAUAGGUUAGGUUAGAACUACGAUCUUUGCAAAAACGAACUGCUGCCACAAAAGUGGGUUAGGUUAGGUUAGAACUGUGACCCUCGCAAAAACGAACUGCUGCCACAAAAGUGGGUUAGGUUAGGUUAGAACUGCGACCAUUGUAAAAACGAACUGCUGUUAAAACUAGGUUAGGUUAGAAAUACGAUCCUUGCAAAAACGAACUGCUGCCACAAAAGUGGGUUAGGUUAGGUUAGAACUGCGAUCCUUGCAAAAACGAACUGUUGCCACAAAAGUGGGUUAGGUUAGGUUAGAACUGUGAUCCUCGCAAAAACGAACUGCUGCCACGAAAGUGGGUUAGGCUAGAACUGUGAUCCUCACAAAAACGAACUGCUGCCACAAAAGUGGGUUAGGUUAGGUUAGAACUGCGACCAUUGUAAAAACGAAACGAAAUAGGGAAAUCAAAAUUAGGGCAUACGAGUGUUAGGUCAAGCAACGAUAGGCUAAGUAAAAUUAGGUAACAUGAUGGUUAGGAUAUAUAAUUUUUAGGCCUAACAAUAAUUAGGCAAAAAAAGAAUUAUGCUACAUAACAUUAGGAUAAAUACUCAAUAUGGAAAGUGCCAUUAGGGAAAAACAUAUUAGGACAAAAAAAUAUCGGCCAUUCGAUAAUAGGGAA